CCUACGGGAGGCAGCAGUGGGGAAUUUUGGACAAUGGGCGCAAGCCUGAUCCAGCAAUGCCGCGUGCAGGAUGAAGGCCUUCGGGUUGUAAACUGCUUUUGUACGGAACGAAACGGCUCUUUCUAAUAAAGAGAGCUAAUGACGGUACCGUAAGAAUAAGCACCGGCUAACUACGUGCCAGCAGCCGCGGUAAUACGUAGGGUGCGAGCGUUAAUCGGAAUUACUGGGCGUAAAGCGUGCGCAGGCGGUUAUAUAAGACAGAUGUGAAAUCCCCGGGCUCAACCUGGGACCUGCAUUUGUGACUGUAUAGCUAGAGUACGGUAGAGGGGGAUGGAAUUCCGCGUGUAGCAGUGAAAUGCGUAGAUAUGCGGAGGAACACCGAUGGCGAAGGCAAUCCCCUGGACCUGUACUGACGCUCAUGCACGAAAGCGUGGGGAGCAAACAGGAUUAGAUACCCUGGUAGUCCACGCCCUAAACGAUGUCAACUGGUUGUUGGGUCUUCACUGACUCAGUAACGAAGCUAACGCGUGAAGUUGACCGCCUGGGGAGUCGGCCGCAAGGUUGAAACUCAAAGGAAUUGACCGGNNGAGAGAGCGAGACGACGACGAGGGAGGAGG
rnacentral:rRNA from 1 species